UACGAGGACGAACGCUGGCGGCGUGCCUAACACAUGCAAGUCGAACGAAGCAUUUAAGUGAAUCCCUUCGGGGUGAAGCUUUUUGACUGAGUGGCGGACGGGUGAGUAACGCGUGGGUAACCUACCCUGUACAGGGGGAUAACAGUUAGAAAUGACUGCUAAUACCGCAUAAGCACACGCUGUCGCAUGACAGAGAGUGAAAAGAAUUUUGGUACAGGAUGGGCCCGCGUCUGAUUAGCUAGUUGGCAAGGUAAAGGCUUACCAAGGCGACGAUCAGUAGCCGGCUUGAGAGAGUGAACGGCCACAUUGGAACUGAGACACGGUCCAAACUCCUACGGGAGGCAGCAGUGGGGAAUAUUGCACAAUGGGGGAAACCCUGAUGCAGCGACGCCGCGUGAAGGAUGAAGUAUUUCGGUAUGUAAACUUCUAUCAGCAGGGAAGAUAAUGACGGUACCUGACUAAGAAGCCCCGGCUAACUACGUG
rnacentral:rRNA from 1 species